UACAGAGGAUGCAAGCGUUAUCCGGAAUGAUUGGGCGUAAAGCGUCUGUAGGUGGCUUUUUAAGUCCGCCGUCAAAUCCCAGGGCUCAACUCUGGACAGGCGGCGGAAACUACCAAGCUGGAGUACGGUAGGGGCAGAGGGAAUUUCCGGUGGAGCGGUGAAAUGCGCAGAGAUCGGAAAGAACACCAACGGCGAAAGCGCUCUGCUGGGCCGAAACUGACACUGAGAGACGAAAGCUAGGGGAGCGAAUGGG
rnacentral:rRNA from 1 species